CCUACGGGUGGCAGCAGUGGGGAAUAUUUGGCAAUGGGCGCAAGCCUGACCCAGCAACGCCGCGUGAAGGAAGAAGGCUUUCGGGUUGUAAACUUCUUUUCUGAGGGACGAAGAACGUGGCGGUACCUCAGGAAUAAGCCACGGCAAACUACGUGCCAGGAGCCGCGGUAAGACUGAGGUGGCAGGAGUUAUCCGGAUUUGGUGGGUGUAAAGGGCGAGUAGGCGGGACAGCAAGUCAGAUGUAAAAAUUCAGGGCGCAACCCUGAGACUGCAUUUGAACCUGUUUUUCUUGAGUGCUGGAGAGGCAAGCGGAAUUCCGGGUGUAGCGGUGAAAUGCGGAGAUAUCCGGAGGAACCCCAGUGGCGAAGGCGGAUUGCUGGACAGUAACUGACGCUGAGGCGCGAAAGCGUGGGGAGCAAACAGGAUUAGAUACCCGAGUAGUC
rnacentral:rRNA from 1 species